GACGAACGCUGGCGGCGUGCUUAACACAUGCAAGUCGAGCGGUAAGGCCCUUUCGGGGGUACACGAGCGGCGAACGGGUGAGUAACACGUGGGUGACCUGCCCUCAGCUCUGGGAUAAGCCUGGGAAACUGGGUCUAAUACUGGAUAUGACUCCACGGUGCAUGUCGUGGGGUGGAAAGCCUUGUGCGGCUGAGGAUGGGCCCGCGGCCUAUCAGCUUGUUGGUGGGGUGAGGCCUACCAAGGCGACGACGGGUAGCCGGCCUGAGAGGGCGACCGGGCCACACUGGGACUGAGACACGGCCCAGACUCCUACGGGAGGCGAGCAGUGGGGAAUC
rnacentral:rRNA from 1 species